CUAUUAUAGACACAUGGCAAUGAUCGUUGAAGAGUGACUCGUACUGACUGAUGACUUGUUAUAUCUCAAUGGCCUCAGCAUGUGGAAUUUAAACAGAAGUACAUAAAUCUGUCAGCAAAGGUGUAUGACAACCUGAGAAUUACUUUACUAAUUUGAAAGACAGAGCCUUCUGAUAGCCAUGAGCUGAGCAGUUUUGCUCCUCUGUGUGCUUCUGCCAUGAUGUGCUGCCUCAUCACAGGCCUAAACCAAUGGGGCCAAUCAAUCAUAGACUGACACCUCCAAAACUGAACCUAGAUUUGGAGAAAGAAGUGGAAGACUGAAAAAAAUGGCAUGCAGAGGAGAUAUCCAAGCAGACAGAGGAAAACCAUCAUCUUUCCUGUGUGGUGGAUAGAAGUGGCUGGCCUACUGUGUCCCCCUACCUGUGUGCCCAUCAGCAAGUCACUUUACCUCCAGAUACAUCAGCUGUGGAACGGGAACCCUAAUAAUAGUAACAACACAAAUCUGCAAGGAAUAUGUGAGACCUGAUUCAGAUCAUGAUUGAACCUGGCUCA